AAAAGUGUUUAUAAUUACACCGUAGUGGAAGCUGAAGACAAGGAUCCUGGGCUGUAGGCCUGAACCUUGGCGGAUGGUUACUGCGCAUGCACGGCAAUGCGAUGUCCACCUGAAGUUUCGGAGACUUGGCCCUAGAAUUCUCCAAAGGACUAACAGCUUAAAGGUGGCGAAGUGUGGAAAUAAAGGAAGAUCAACUUCAUCAGAAAAAGCAAAGCGAUUUAUUCGGGGCUUCACAAGAGGGCCUCAGCCAGGGCACUGCGUACUGACCGUCUAAGGCAGAUGGGGGCGGGAAAGCUUUGUAGUAGAAACAGGGAGAAGGCUUCAGAUGCGCCCUGGUUAGAGACUGUGGGGUGAGGAAGCUGCAGGUGAGCUAAUUCUGGGUUCAUUUCCCACUUCUGGAAAACCGUGAGACAUCCCUUACGAUUAGUUAGGGGUGCAUAGUUGUCUUUCCCUGGUUGUUCCUAAAUGCAAGGAGUACAAAAGACUCUGUCAGUUAUUGAUCGAGCUCUGGCCAUUUUGAAAGGAUAGUUAGAAAAGUUGUUAACUUUCCUGGAAUUUUUUUUUUUUUUAACUAGUUAACAGUCUGACUUCCUACAAAUCUGAUUUACAGCAGCCUGGCUUCCUGGGUUGUUCAUUACAGGCUGCAGAUUUUGGCUCAGAGCUCUGGUCUGACCAGUGCAUUUGGUGUCUGAAAUGUACUAAUUCAGCACAUCCUAACCGAGGACCCCGGGGCAUUCAGCUUCUCUUGGCCCUGCCUUCUCAGAUCUGGGUCACAGACCACGGGUCUCUGGGGCCUCUGGGCUCGGAGAUAGGCAAAGGUCAAGACUUGUAAGCAUCACUCCACCUAUGAGUGUCCGUUGUGACCAGCAACUCAAUUCUUCACUCUAACUACUCGAGGGUUUGGAGCUUAUCUAGUGGUAUUGCAAAUGGUGGUGGUACUGGCUAGCAUUUAGAGAGCUUAUUCUACGUUAAAAUGAUAGAAAGCUGGCAACAGUAUUUCUGCGGUGCAAUCGGUGAGCGCGUUUGGCUGUUAACUGAAAGGUUGGUGGUUCCAUCCCACCCAGAGACGGCAAGGCGUUUUGUAACUUUCUCAUCGGUUAGAUCUAAGAACUGAUAGCUUAACUGCUAUGGUUUAGUGGUUACUUGUCAUCCCCGCCUCCUGCCCGCAUCACCACCACCGAAGCAUAUUAGGAAGAAAAUGUAGGGGAGGAGGAGAUUACAAGUUCUUGCAACUCGGAAGGAAAAAAUGCUGUGAAGAUAUCUUUAGCAGUAUGUAAACAGUGGUAUCUGGAGGCUGUAUCUAGCUUUAGUAAUUGCUCCAUCUAUAUUGUUGUUAGUAGAGUCAGGAUUAUCAUUACUUUCUGAAUUUUUUAACGAAGGUAUUUCUUUUUUUGUACUAUUAUCUAACCCUUUAUGUGUUAUUUUUGAAAUUAAUUUAAUUCCAUGAUUUUAUAAUUUCAAAUAAUGCUGCAGUUAUCAUUCUUGUACAAAUACCUUUUGCUACUUUUACAAGUAUUUUUGUAGGACAGAAUCCUGGAAGUGCUAUGGCCAUAUCAUCAUGGUUACAGUUUUUUUAAUUUAAGUGAUAAGCUCUGUAAAUUUACUUUCCUUCUAGCUUUUGAACUCACAGAAUCCUUUCCUUCAUACUCUUGCUUGCACAACAAACUUCUGUACAUCUGUGAUAUUUUAAUAAAGUGUUGCUCUCCUGACUUAAGUGGAAACCUUCUUUUCUCUCUCAUUCAUACACUGUCAAUUAUUUUCUCUCAUCAGUGCUAUCAGUGUGGAAUUCUGGUUUUGAUGUUACAAAAUGAACAUCUGAAGACAUCUCUGCUGAGGAGUGGUUAAGAUGGAUUCACUGUCUGGUAGAUACAUGACCACUAAGCUAAUCUAUGCAUCUUUUUUUUUUUGAUUGGCUAUUUGAUCUAAAUGUUUUGGUAUUUCCUGGUAUUUGACUCUGCAGUGUUGAAAAGUGGCAGUAGGUGUCAGUUUUUGCAAAAGUGGAAUGUCUAACAAAAUGAUCUCUAUACACAGUAAUUCUUCCUUAAGAGCUCUGACUUCAGGGCCUGGGGAUUUAGCUCAGCGGCAAAAGCGCCUGCCUGGCAAGUGUAAGGUUGUGAGUUCGGUUCCUGGUACCAAAAAAAAAACCAAAAAACAAAAAAAAAAAAAAAAAAAAAAAGAGCUCUGACUUCAAUAAAUUGUUCUUUUUUUUAAUCAAUAAAUUGUUCUAUCUAAAGGCAAUGUUAGAGCAGAGGAAAACUGAAUUCCUGGUAUCCAAUGAUCUGCUAUCUUAG
ensembl:lincRNA